AGCAAAUAGAUACCCAGGUAGUCCACGCCGUAAACGAUGAAUACUAGGUGUAGGGGUUGUCAUGACCUCUGUGCCGCCGCUAACGCAUUAAGUAUUCCGCCUGGGGAGUACGGUCGCAAGAUUAAAACUCAAAGGAAUUGACGGGGGCCCGCACAAGCAGCGGAGUAUGUGGUUUAAUUCGAAGCAACGCGAAGAACCUUACCUAGACUUGACAUCUCCUGAAUUACUCUGUAAUGGAGGAAGCCACUUCGGUGGCAGGAAGACAGGUGGUGCAUGGUUGUCGUCAGCUCGUGUCGUGAGAUGUUGGGUUAAGUCCCGCAACGAGCGCAACCCUUAUUGUUAGUUGCUACCAUUUAGUUGAGCACUCUAGCGAGACUGCCCGGGUUAACCGGGAGGAAGGUGGGGAUGACGUCAAAUCAUCAUGCCCCUUAUGUCUAGGGCUACACACGUGCUACAAUGGUCGGUACAAUGAGAUGCAACCUCGCGAGAGUGAGCAAAACUAUAAAACCGAUCUCAGUUCGGAUUGUAGGCU
rnacentral:rRNA from 1 species